AAACUACUCCCUCCGUCCCAAAAUUCUUGUCUUAGAUUUGUCUAAAUACGGAUGUAUCAAGUCACAUUUUAGUAUUAGAUACAUCCGUAUCUAUACAAAUCUGAGACAAGAAUUUGGGGAUGAAGGGAGUAUUAU
rnacentral:pre_miRNA from 1 species